rnacentral:rRNA from 1 species
AGCGCAGGCGGGACAGCAAGUUGGAUGUGAAAUACCGAGGCUUAACCUCGGGGCUGCAUCCAAAACUGUUGUUCUUGAGUGAAGUAGAGGUUGGCGGAAUUCCGAGUGUAGCGGUGAAAUGCGUAGAUAUUCGGAGGAACACCAGUGGCGAAGGCGGCCAACUGGGCUUUAACUGACGCUGAGGCUCGAAAGCAUGGGGAGCAAACA